GAACCCCAGGUCCUGAGCAUGCUCUUUGAGGAGGGGGUUCUGACAGAGUAGGAAGUGGGCCGUGGGGGUCACCGCUGUUCCCACGUCACCACAGUGAAAGCCUGCUAGGAAACACACACCAGAAAUGGGAUAUACUCUAGAAAACACAAAGAAGGAUGUUUCAGAGCAAACUAAAAGGGUAACCACCACAGAAAACUACCAACACGGAUUUUUAUACAAGGCUCUGUGGGGUGCUGUGCCAGUUAUCAAGCUGCCAUCCCUGAGCUUCGUGCCUGCACUCAUCACUUCACUCUGCAAUACUAUGGCUGGUGCCCUGCAAACAGCAUCGCUGCUCUGCCAGCUGCGCCCACUCGGCCCUGCAGUAGACGACCAAAAGGGAGGUGGUAGAGCUCGGGGUGUCAGUCUUCCUGUUUGCUUCCUCUUCAGCCAGUACCAUCCCAUCCUCACCUCUUCACCUCAAAUGUGCUGGUGUGUUCCAGGAGCAGAAUUUGAGUCCAGUGUGCUAUUUACACUUGCUCCCCCGGCUGGCCACUGCCUCCAUCAGGCUUCUGCGUCCGGCUCCAGGAGCCUCUGGAGCCUCUGGCCCCAGCCUGAGCACAGGAGGUUGGGGGGGGCCCCCUCAGAGGGCUGAGUUCCAUGUGGUCCCUCCUCUCCCCUUUGUUCCCCACCUCUGACCUCUCAGAUGUCUUAGCAGUCCCUUCUUGCCAUUUAAUGCACAGUUCUUUAUGUUAAAUUAUUUUCAUUUAAAAAUAGGCAUGGUUUUUGUCUACACUUAACAAAAUCUGACACCCAUUUCUGAUAUUUAAAAAUGUUCAGUUAAGAAAGAAUUGUCAGAUACUUCCCUGACAUGAUUUCGUAGAUAAACCAACUCCACCCUAAAGCCAGCAUCUUACUAAAUGGGGAGCGGAGUUUCCCCACAAGGGCACUGUGUUUGGGGUUGUAGCCAGGGCAAGAGAAAGAACAAGCUCUUCACUCCAAAUUCUGACCUAAAACAGUGGAGGAGAUACUGUUACAGGGAAAAGAACCAAGAGCAUGAUGGGAAAUACAGUGCAGAACUUUUGGGUAAGAAAGAAGGAGAAACACACAUAUAACUGUAUCUCCUUAUAUUUUUGAAAAGAAAUGCUCAAAAAGCAAACCAAAAACAAUUGUUUUUAAUUGGUUACAUAAAGGGGGAAGGAGAAACAAGGUAGUGAGGAUAGGAAUGCAAGGUAGACUUCUCAGAAGACACCUACAGAGUUUUGACUUUGGAAACAAAAUGUUUUACAUACUAAAAAACAAAGAUGAAACUCAUUUCUAAAUUCAUAUGAAUUCAGUUUCCAAAACAAUUCCCAAACCAAUCUGAAAUACAAAGAAAAGACUUACUUCUAGAGACUUGUAAAAAUUGUUAACAGCGAAGAGUCAACGAUGUGCCAGUUACCAAGCGAAAAUCCAAAACAGAGUUCCCUGAAGAAUCCACAUCAGAAAAUGGCUCCCCAGGCUGCACGAGUCCCUCCACUCAGUUCCAGGUUUAAGUUCUCAAGAGAUGCAUCUCACUGGCAGGACAUGCAACCCACCUGGGAUCCCAGCCACAAUGACAACUGGAAAAUACGGUUUUUCAGCUUUCUCUGAUCUGCACCCAGGACUGCAUAUCAGCCACAGAUUAGAAACGAACUAAGCACUUCAAUCCAAAGUAUCUGUCAGCUGGUAAGCUCAGGCCUUUUGAACAUCUUCCAUUUACCUCUUGAAGAUUUGGAACACAAGAAUUUUCUAGGAAACUCAUCCUGAAAAUCAAUAACAGGAUGAUACCAUGUAACUAACGUGUCUUAUGUCUUUAACCAGGGCCAAUGUUUAGAGGCUUUGAGGAAAAAGACUGUGUCUCAAUUAGCCAGUGUGCCCUAGAUAGCACCAGGGCAAGCAUGACCACACACACAAUCCUACCGUGGCUGUAGUUCCAAUCACACAAGGAGGGCUCUCAAUUGAAAAGAAAGGCAUAUACAUUUGCCUUCUAAAUAAUCCCAAGCAAUUAUCCUGCCUCAGCCUCCCAAGUAGCUGGGAUUACAGGUGCCCAUCACCACUCCCAGCUAAUUUUGCAUUUUUAGUAGAGACAGGGUUUCCAUGUUGACCAGGCUUGUUUCGAACUCCUAACCUCAAGUGAUCCACCAGCCUCAGCCUCCCAAAGUGCUGGAAUUACAGACAAGAGCCACUGUGCCCUGCCGGCUGAUGAAUUUCUUAGUUCAACUUCCUGGUCCAGCAAAUUCUCUCAUUGCAUAAUGCGUGCAGUGUUCUGCAAUUCCAGUCUUGCUCUACUUGUGGCUAUGUACCUCAGACAAGGUUUUUAACCUCCCUGCGCCAAGAUCUCCUCUUGUAAAACAAAGGUAGCAAGUGUUCCUCACAUUUUUUAUGAAGAUCAAAUGAGUUAAUAAAAAUCAAGUGCUUUCAAGAGCGUCCGGCACUUAUGAAGUGCUUCACAAUUGCUAUUAUUCUUUUCAUUAUGUUUAUUACUAUUGGUACUCUCCAAUGCCAGCAGAGAGCAAGAUAGCAAUGAUUCUAGACACAUUUAGUAUUCAUAAUCACAAACACUGGCAGAUUACCUGCAGUCUGAGAUAAUAUUUCUCCUUUGGAAAAAAAUCUUCGCUAUAUAGCAAAGAUUCUGUAGCAAAUAUGAUAACAUGAUGAAUCCUUUAUUAAUGUUUAUAGGGGAAAAAGAAAGAAAAUCAUUUUCUGAACAGUAGAAUUUUGAACUAAGAACAGCUAGGUCUGAACAUCCUUCAUGGCUCAGAAGUGACAGACCACCCUGAUGGCAUCCUCCUUGAACAGGUCACAGGCUGAGCAUCCAAACCAUGCAGUCAGCAGUUUAGAGGCAAGGGAGCCUUCAACACAGAAAUAAAAUUCAUGUAAAUAAGGAGUGAGGGGCAGAGCCUGUUGCCUAACACUCUAGAUCCUGAUGCCUCCAAAUGCAGGAAUUGCACAGAUGAGAAGAGAGGGAAGAAAGACACAGAGUGGAUCUCGCUAUCACUGGGCAGGGAGCAGGCUGGGGAGGACAGAGUGGAAAAAGUCUGGUCGUUUCUGCAAAAUGGUAUUUAUGUUUGUCCACUGUGCUAGCCAUAGUCCUUUUCCUGUGGCUAUUUCUUACAAGAUGGAACUAAAAGACCAGUACAUAGAAAUAACCUUUAAAGGAUUUAAAGAUCACAGGCAAAAGUUCAGAUGACAUACCACGUUCAGACUGAUGAUAAGGAAACCUUUCCCGAUAGAGACCUCAGCCUCUUUAGAACUUCACAUCUUAGAAUAAUGAAUGAGGAGCAAAACUCUAAGUAAAGCAAAUCAUUUUUGCAAUUACAUAGACUUUGCCAGAACAACUGUGAAGAAACUGAAUCAAUAAUAUUCGACUCUAAAAGCUUUUUUUUCUCCACCAACUACCACAGAUAAUUUUAUAGAGGACAAAAUUUCCAGCCAAAAUAACUAAAUAUUUUCUUUACCACCUGGCAUGCUGCCUCUUCCAGCAUGUGUGGUACAUUACUAGAAGUUUCUCUGCAGAAUAAAGUUGCCCUCUGGGAGCUGGGUGCAUGGGUUGGUGGUAGGAGCUACUCUGGACCUAGUUUGGUCACCUGUCAAGGAAAGCAAGCAUCAGGAAACAGGCUGAGUGAGGAACCAUGGUGAAGCCAUGUUUGCAGGAAACAGACAGUCUGUGAGGUAGGAGAUUUGAAAGAAGAAAAAGAAACCAUAUUGUGCGUGGCUUCUAUUCUUGCUGGGCUAAGACGAAGUAAAGAAGUAGUGGCCAAAAAGUAAAAAGUAACAAGAAAGAGACAAGAAAAAGAGAGAUACCAACAGCCCAGUAGAAAACUGAGCGAAACAACAUGAACAGUUCAGAGAAACAAAAGUGCAAAUGCUUUCAAAUAUGGGAAUGGAUUUCAAUCUCACUCUUAAAAGAAAGGCAGUGCUAUUCUUCACUUAGCAAGUUGGCAAAAUUCAAAAGCUGUGAUGGCAAACUGUAUGAGUGAGGUACCAGGAGAUCAACACUCUCCUGGAUAUGGCAAGUGGGAGUGCAGGUGUACAAGCUCAGAGGAGGGCAGGCUGGCAACAGCGCUCAGGACGGGAAGUGUUUGAUUCAGGGACACCACUUCUACAAAGUGAAAAACUGAGGUUUUUUUUUAAUAAGUCUGAAAACAAUUUAAAUGCUCACAAUAGGGGACUGAAUAAAUUAUGAUGUCAUCAUACAGUAGAAUAUUAUAAAAGUUUGUAAAGAAGCAGGUCUAUACUGAUUUGGAAGGCUCUCCAAGGUCCAGAGUCAAGUUCAAAAGGAAAGGAAGGGCCACAAAAGUACCUUGCUGUGCUACCACUUGCACACAAAAGCUCUGAACAAAUACAGGGGUGCUGUAGGCCAGGAGGACACCUCUGGAAGCUGGUGGCAAGGGCUGCCUGGAGGGAGAGGAAAAUAGUAAAGCAAGAGAUACACAAACCCAUUAAAAACUGUGAAGUGUGUCUGGUGUCUGUGUAGAUGUGUACACAUAAAUAGAAAUGUUGACCAUUCCCACAGGCUUGAGCUGUGCUCUCCUUGUAUUUUAAGAUUAUGGGUGACUUUUAUCUUCUUCCUUGUAGUGUUUCUUGAGUUCGUAAAUAUUUCACAGUGAAAUUAGAUGCUUUUUUAAAAAAAAUGAUUUUUCCUUCUAAAAUUCUCUGUUAUGUCCACAAAACAAAAUAUGUAGGCCGGGCACAGUGGCUCAUGCCUGUAAUUGCAGCACUUUGGGAGGCUGAGGUGGGUGGAUAACCUGAGGUCAGGAGUUCAAGACCAACCUGGCCAACAUGGUGAAACCCCAUCUCUAUUCAAAAUCAAAAAAAAAAAAUUAACUAGGCGUGGUGGUGAGCACCUGUAAUCCCAGCUACUCAGGAGGCUGAAUCACUUGAACCCAGGAGGCAGAGGUUGCAGUGAGCCAGGAUCACACCACUGCACUCCAGCCUGGACAACAUAGUGAUACUCUAUCUCAAAAAAAAAAGAAAAACUUUGUCAGUUAAUUUAGUCAAACAAGCCUUUUGAUUGUGGCAUUCUCAAGAGCACAGUGGGAUUGGAGCUGGAAUUCCCAGCUCUGCCUUCAGAAGAAAGUCAGGCUCACCACAGGCCUGGGGAGCCCGGCACCCAGCAGCCCCACCCUCCCUGUAUUCCACCAGGACCCAUGGAGGGUCAGAGGCAGGGCGGGAGAUCUGGGGACAGAGUUCCACUUAUUGUCUCUCUCAGGUGAAGUCCUCCCAAACAGUGCUUUCGGAAUUGAAGACUUGGAGCUAUUUUGGUUGCAUUCUUGGCCCUGAGAGACAGGUUUCCUGUUAAUACUGUUUUGACUGAGAUUGUUUGGGCCUCUCCAGCAGGAGACCAGAUUUAGAUCAAACGCACAGGAUCCUCCUGCUGCAACCAGAAAGGCCUGGGACACCCAGGGAAGUCCGAGUCCCCACUGUUAGAGGGUGGGAAAGGGGACCGGGGUGCUUUCUCUGCUGCCCCAGGAGGCCCUGCUGGAGUUAUGCCCACCCGCCCGGAGCCACAGAAAGUCCAGGAGGCUAGGCCAGCAGCAUGGAGGUCAAAGCAUCCCAGGCCAUCUGCUGAAGGCAGGUCCCCCAUCUGAGGCCCAGUGCCCGGAUGAAGAGGCUCACACAGUCAUACUAGAGCACCAGCCCUCACACAGGGCUGUUUAGGGCCUACCACUGGUCAGCCACCUUUUGGAGUUGAUGCCGGGAAUAUGGAGCCAAGGCCAGACCUCAGAGGCAGGGUCUGUCCUAGCCUCUCAGACCUAACCUGGCAGAUGCUUUCACACAGGCAGAAAGAGAGGCUGAGGGAGACCUUGAACAUCCCAGGGCCCAAGGGCACUUCAUUCUCAAAGGAAGGGAAGAAAAGGGCAGGCCUGCCUGUCCAAUCCGGGGGUACAGAGAGGGACCCCAGCAUAUGCAGCAUGGCGGAGAGGGCUGUCUGGAGAUGGCUCUCAGGUGCACCAUGCCCAGGCUGGAGGGGCCUCCAAAGCAGGCAGGAGGGUACCAUCUGGUAACCCGAGUCCCGGGAUAGUUGAGUGACCAGGGUCUAAGCAGAACCUACCCUUUAUUCCAUAUUUGUAAUCCAUGUUCCCUUUGUGAAGCUGGGGAAGUGGCUGCAGCAUCUGAAUUAUGGCCUUGACCUUUUCACAAGAGCCAGUAAUGGCUGCAGUGAAAGCUUCAGCAGAGCCUGCCCGUCACCUGCUGACAUGUGGUUUUGGGAAAAGCCGGACUUAUUUGUUUCCAAAGCUUUUUCCUCCGAAUCUUUGGUCAUGGACCUGGGAACUGGCAUCUGCCAUCUCUUUCCUAAUGUGACCUUAAAUCAUAGAAGUGACUGUGGGAAAGUGGCCUGGAAAGAGGCUGUGACUCUGUUGCCAGAGGCUGGAAGCUGGUAAACAACCCCGUGAGGCCUGAGGCACAGUUCCUUUCCCCGAAACUGGAGGAAUGCGGCCCAAGGGUCUUCUCCCAUUGUAGAUGACACUCUGGGGAGACACGUCUCCAAGUGUGGCAAGAGUCCCCCCACUUCAUUACAAAGUUAAUGAAAGAAAACCACGUGUUCACAAAACAGCCUUUUCCUGACAAUCCUGAGUCACUGCACCGUCAUUCUGAAAGUCAGAGAAGCAUCCAUGCUCCACUUAAGCAGAAGGCAGAAGUAAUGUGGAAAGGUAGACGGAAUUCCGUUUUAGAGAAAUGGUCUUGCAACAUGUAUGUAAGUGAAAAUGCAUUUUUACCUGACGUAACUCUUCAAGUCAGCAGUCCUCACUCGAAGCCAGGAGCACGAUGAACUCACCCAAAAGCUUUGACAGUAUGCUGAUGCCUGGGCCUCACCCAGACCAAUUAAACCAGGAUCUGGGGAGAAAGGGGUACUCAGGUAUCUGUGUCUAUCUCCCAGAUUAUCUCAAUAUCCAGUUAGGAUUAAGAAGCACUGGUAGAUCUGAACUUUCGCUUAGGUUUACCUUGUAAUAAAUGGCCUUCCUGUCUGUACCUCAGGACUGAAAUUAAUAGGUCCAUUUCAGUGGCCCACCUGGGACUAACCCAAGGCUAUCAGAGUCCCAGUUAUAAAUGCACAUCUUUUAUGGAACGUUGCAACACAAGUAAAGGAAUUGCCUUUCCUCCACCAAACUGCACUCUGUGCCCAGAAUAUCCAGCCAGUUGGCCAGAAAGAAUGAGGCACCUGUGGCCGGCAGAGCAGGCCCGAUGCUGGCUGCAGGCUCCACUCCAUCAGCCCUGGCCACCUCCCAGCCUUCAGGCUUGGGUCCUGGUGUGUGAGCAUGAGAGCACUUCUGGAGGGCUGGAGGGCCUGGAGACACACAUUCUGGGUCCAGCCCAUGGAAUACAACUCACAAGGAACUUAAGGGACCUCUUCAAGGAAAACUACAAACCACUGCUCAAUGAAAUAAGAGAGGACACAAACAAAUGGAGAAACAUUCCAUGUUCAUGGUUAGGAAGAAUCAAUAUUAUGAAAAUGGCUAUACUGCCCAAAGUAAUUUACAGAAUCAAUGCUAUCCCCAUCAAGCUACCAUUGAAUUUCUUCACAGAACUGGAAAAAACCACCAUGAACUUCAUAUGGAGCCAAAAGAGAGCCCACAUAGCCAAGUCAAUUCUAAGCAAAAAGAACACAGCAGGGGGCAUCACACUACCAGACUUCAAACUAUACUACAAGGCUACAGUAAUCAAAACAGCAUGGUACUGGUACCAAAACAGAGAUAUAGACCAAUGGAACAGAACAGAGGCAUCGGAGGCAACACAACAUAUCUACAACCAUACAAUCUUUGAUAAACCUGACAAAAAUAAGCAAUGGGAAAGGAUUCCCUGUUUAAUAAAUGGUGUUGGGAAAACUGGCUAGCCAUAUGCAGAAAGCAGAAACUGGACCCCUUCCUGACACCUUACACUAAAAUUAACUCCAGAUGGAUUAAAGACUUAAACAUAAGACCUGGCACCAUAAAAACCCUAGAAGAAAAUCUAGGCAAAACCAUUCAGGACAUAGAAGUAGGCAAGGACUUCAUGGCCAAAACACCAAAAGCAUUGGCAACAAAAGCCAAAAUAGACAAAUGGGACCUAAUCAAACUCCACAGCUUCUGCAUGGUAAAAGAAACAGUGACUAGAGUGAAUCGGCAACCAAAAGAAUGGGAAAAAAUCUUUGCAGUUUACCCAUCUGACAAAGGGCUGAUAUCCAGAAUUUACAAAGAACUCAAACAAAUUUACAGGAAAAAAACAAACAAGCCCAUUCAAAAAUGGGCAAAGGAUAUGAACAGACACUUUACAAAAGAAGACAUACAUGAGGCCAACAAACACAUGAAAAAAUGCUCAUCAUCACUGGUCAUUAGAGAGAUGCAAAUCAAAACCACAUUGAGAUACCAUCUCAUGCCAGUUAGAAUGGUGAUCAUUAAAAAAUAUGGAGACAACAGAUGCUGGAGAGGAUGUGGAGAAAUAGGAACACUUUUACACUGUUGGUGGGAGUGCAAAUUAGUUCAACCAUUGUGGAAGACAGUGUGGCGAUUCCUCAAGGCCUUAGAAAUAGAAAUUCCAUUUGACCCAGCAAUCCCAUUACUGGGCAUAUAUCCAAAGGAUUAUAAAUCAUUCUACUAUAAGGACACAUGUACACGAAUGUUCAUUGCAGCACUGUUUACAAUAGCAAAGACCUGAAACCAACCCAAAUGCCCAUCGAUGAUAGACUGGACUGGGAAAAUGUGACACAUAUACACCAUGGAAUAUUAUGCAGCAAUCAAAAAUGAUGAGUUCAUGUCCUUUGUAGGGACAUGGAUGAAUCUGGAGAACAUAAUUCUCAGCAAACUGACACAAGAACAGAAAAUGAAAUACCACAUAUUCUCACUCAUAGGCAGGUGAGGAAAAAUGAGAACACAUGGACACAGGGAACGGGGUAC